GAUGAACGCUGGCGGCGUGCCUAACACAUGCAAGUCGAGCGAAGCGAUUUAACGGAAGUUUUCGGAUGGAAGUUAAAUUGACUGAGCGGCGGACGGGUGAGUAACGCGUGGGUAACCUGCCUCAUACAGGGGGAUAACAGUUAGAAAUGACUGCUAAUACCGCAUAAGCCCACGGCCCGGCAUCGGGUUGAGGGAAAAGGAUUUAUUCGCUUCAGGAUGGACUCGCGUCCAAUUAGCUAGUUGGUGAGGUAACGGCCCACCAAGGCGACGAUUGGUAGCCGGACUGAGAGGUUGAACGGCCACAUUGGGACUGAGACACGGCCCAG
rnacentral:rRNA from 1 species